UACGUAGGGUGCAAGCGUUAAUCGGAAUUACUGGGCGUAAAGCGUGCGCAGGCGGUUUUGUAAGUCUGUCGUGAAAGCCCCGGGCUUAACCUGGGAAUUGCGAUGGAGACUGCAAGGCUUGAAUCUGGCAGAGGGGGGGUAGAAUUCCACGUGUAGCAGUGAAAUGCGUAGAGAUCGGGAGGAACACCCGUGGCGAAGGCGGCCAACUGGGCCGGACCUGACGCUGAGGCGCGAAGGCGUGGGGAGCGAACGGG
rnacentral:rRNA from 1 species